AACGAAUGCUGGCGGCAUGCCUAACACAUGCAAGUCGAACGCGUGUAGCAAUACACGAGUGGCGGACGGGUGAGUAACGCGUGGGAACCUGCCCAAUGGUAGGGAAUAACUGCGGGAAACUGCAGCUAAUACCCUAUGCUCCCUACGGGGAAAAGAUUUAUCGCCAUUGGAGGGGCCCGCGUCGGAUUAGCUAGUUGGCGGGGUAAUGGCCCACCAAGGCUACGAUCCGUAGCUGGUCUGAGAGGAUGAUCAGCCACACUGGGACUGAGAUACGGCCCAGACUCCUACGGGAGGCAGCAGUGGGGAAUAUUGGACAAUGGGGGAAACCCUGAUCCAGCAAUGCCGCGUGAGUGAAGAAGGCCUUAGGGUUGUAAAGCUCUUUCGGCGGGGACGAUGGUGACGGUACCCGCAGAAGAAGCCCCGGCUAACUUCGUGCCAGCCGCCGCGGUAAUAC
rnacentral:rRNA from 1 species